UUGGCCCUGAAUCAAGGCUGGCACUUUCCGGAAACUGUUGGUUUCAAGCAGGACCCUAAUGACGUCUUUCUGUGCUCUGUUCACCAUUUCAGAACUUUGGAAAUAUAAUGGUCCAUUCAUUAGAGAGAAAUGGCU
ensembl:snoRNA